UACGUAGGUGGCGAGCGUUGUCCGGAUUUACUGGGCGUAAAGAGCGCGCAGGCGGUCGUUCAAGUCGCGUGUGAAAGCCCCCGGCUCAACUGGGGGGGGUCACGCGAUACUGAUCGACUCGAAGGCAGGAGAGGGAAGUGGAAUUCCCGGUGUAGUGGUGAAAUGCGUAGAUAUCGGGAGGAACACCAGUGGCGAAGGCGACUUCCUGGCCUGUUCUUGACGCUGAGGCGCGAAAGCUAGGGUAGCAAACGGG
rnacentral:rRNA from 1 species